rnacentral:other from 1 species
GCCGGCCUGCAAAGUUGGUGCUGGUGGUAACCGGAUUUUGAACCAACACCUCAAUGAACGGGAGCCCGACUCGGCUUCUGAUCCGGUGUGCAACGUUCCGCCAUGCGGAAAUGCCUAAAGGAUUGCGGCGGGUUCCCACCUUGCUGAGCAAGGUUCAUUGACGGCCCACCACACGGCCCCGCGGGUCGGCU